GGUUGUCAAGUCAGGUGUGAAAUCCUACAGCUUAACUGUAGAACUGCACUUGAAACUGGCAACCUAGAGUAUGGGAGGGGGAGAUGGAAUUAGUGGUGUAGGGGUAAAAUCCGUAGAUAUCACUAGGAAUACCUAAAGCGAAGGCGAUCUCCUGGAACAUUACUGACGCUAAGGCGUGAAAGCGUGGGGAGCAAACAGGAUUAGAUACCCUGGUAGUCCACGCCCUAAACGAUGAACACUAGUCGUCGCCCUGCUUGUCAGGGCGGUGAUGCACUUAACAGAUUAAGUGUUCCGCCUGGGGAGUACGGUCGCAAGAUUAAAACUCAAAGGAAUAGACGGGGACCCGCACAAGUGGUGGAGCAUGUGGUUUAAUUCGAAGAUACGCGAAAAACCUUACCUGGCCUUGACAUUGAUAGAAUCCAGCAGAGAUGCAGGAGUGCCCUUCGGGGAGCUUGAAAACAGGUGCUGCACGGCUGUCGUCAGCUCGUGUCGUGAGAUGUUGGGUUAAGUCCCGCAACGAGCGCAACCCUCGUCCUUAGUUGCCAGCAGGUUAAGCUGGGCACUCUAGGGAGACUGCCUUCGCAAGAAGGAGGAAGGUGAGGACGACGUCAAGUCAUCAUGGCCCUUACGGCCAGGGCUACACACGUGCUACAAUGGGGCGUACAGAGUGUUGCAAUACCGCGAGGUGGAGCCAAUCACUUAAAGCGUCUCUCAGUUCGGAUUGUUCUCUGCAACUCGAGAGCAUGAAGCUGGAAUCACUAGUAA
rnacentral:rRNA from 1 species